AUACGGAGGGUGCGAGCGUUGUUCGGAAUAACUGGGCGUAAAGGGCGCGUAGGCGGCUGUGCAAGUCCAAUGUGAAAGUCCGGAGCUAAACUUCGGGAUCGCGUUGGAAACUGUGCGGCUUGAGUCCCGGAGGGGAUGGCGGAAUUCCCGGUGUAGAGGUGAAAUUCGUAGAUAUCGGGAGGAACACCGGUGGCGAAGGCGGCCAUCUGGACGGGUACUGACGCUGAUGCGCGAAAGCGUGGGUAGCAAACAGGAUUAGAAACCCUAGUAGUCC
rnacentral:rRNA from 1 species